CUACGGGGUGCACCAGUGGGGAAUAUUGCACAAUGGGCGCAAGCCUGAUGCAGCCAUGCCGCGUGUAUGAAGAAGGCCUUCGGGUUGUAAAGUACUUUCAGCGGGGAGGAAGGGAGUAAAGUUAAUACCUUUGCUCAUUGAGGUUACCCGCAGAAGAAGCACCGGCUAAGUCCGUGCCAGCAGCCGCGGUAAUACGGAGGGUGCAAGCGUUAAUCGGAAUUACUGGGCGUAAAGCGCACGCAGGCGGUUUGUUAAGUCAGAUGUGAAAUCCCCGGGCUCAACCUGGGAACUGCAUCUGAUACUGGCAAGCUUGAGUCUCGUAGAGGGGGGUAGAAUUCCAGGUGUAGCGGUGAAAUGCGUAGAGAUCUGGAGGAAUACCGGUGGCGAAGGCGGCCCCCUGGACGAAGGCUGACGCUCAGGUGCGAAAGCGUGGGGAGCAAACAGGAUUAGAUACCCUCGUAGUC
rnacentral:rRNA from 1 species